ensembl:snRNA U6 U6 spliceosomal RNA
GGGCUCGGCAGCAUAUAUACUAAAACUGGAAUGAUACAGAGAAGAUUAGCAUGGCCCCUGCACAAGGAUGACAUGCAAAUUCAUGAAGCGUUCGGUCAUGAG